UACGUAGGCAGCAAGCGUUGUUCGGAUUUAUUGGGCGUAAAGAGCGUGUAGGCGGCCUGAAAGGUCAGCUGUGAAAACUCGAGGCUCAACCUCGAGACGUCGGUUGAAACCAUCUGGCUAGAGUCCGGAAGAGGAGUGUGGAAUUCCCGGUGUAGCGGUGAAAUGCGCAGAUAUCGGGAAGAACACCCGUGGCGAAGGCGGCACUCUGGGACGGUACUGACGCUGAGACGCGAAAGCGUGGGGAGCGAACAGG
rnacentral:rRNA from 1 species